rnacentral:rRNA from 1 species
CCUACGGGAGGCAGCAGUGAGGAAUAUUGGUCAAUGGACGAGAGUCUGAACCAGCCAAGUAGCGUGAAGGAUGACUGCCCUAUGGGUUGUAAACUUCUUUUAUAUGGGAAUAAAGUGUUCCACGUGUGGCUUUUUGUAUGUACCAUAUGAAUAAGGAUCGGCUAACUCCGUGCCAGCAGCCGCGGUAAUACGGAGGAUCCGAGCGUUAUCCGGAUUUAUUGGGUUUAAAGGGAGCGUAGGUGGAUUGUUAAGUCAGUUGUGAAAGUUUGCGGCUCAACCGUAAAAUUGCAGUUGAUACUGGCAGUCUUGAGUACAGUAGAGGUGGGCGGAAUUCGUGGUGUAGCGGUGAAAUGCUUAGAUAUCACGAAGAACUCCGAUUGCGAAGGCAGCUUACUGGCCGGCAACUGACACUGAGGCUCGAAAGUGUGGGUAUCAAACAGGAUUAGAUACCCUUGUAGUC